rnacentral:rRNA from 1 species
GACAGAGGGUGCAAACGUUGUUCGGAAUUACUGGGCGUAAAGCGUGUGUAGGCGGUCUCUUAAGUCGGAUGUGAAAGCCCCGGGCUCAACCCGGGAAGUGCACUCGAAACUGGGAGGCUAGAGUACUGGAGAGGUUGGUGGAAUUCUCGGUGUAGAGGUGAAAUUCGUAGAUAUCGAGAGGAACACCGGUGGCGAAGGCGGCCAACUGGACAGAUACUGACGCUGAGACACGGAAGCGUGGGGAGCAAACAGG